rnacentral:rRNA from 1 species
GGAGCUAAUACCGGAUAAUAUAUUGAACCGCAUGGUUCAAUAGUGAAAGACGGUUUUGCUGUCACUUAUAGAUGGAUCCGCGCCGCAUUAGCUAGUUGGUAAGGUAACGGCUUACCAAGGCGACGAUGCGUAGCCGACCUGAGAGGGUGAUCGGCCACACUGGAACUGAGACACGGUCCAGACUCCUACGGGAGGCAGCAGUAGGGAAUCUUCCGCAAUGGGCGAAAGCCUGACGGAGC